UUUAUCAAACAAAAAUCUUCACUUUCUCCUCCUUCCUCCCUCCAAUAAUGAGACUUUAUUUUCUCUCUAUUCUCUCAUCUCUUUCUUUGUAAAUCAUCUCUUUCGUUAUACGUUGCAGCUUCGUUUUCUCCUUCUCCAAAAUUCUCCAAAUUUCCGCCGCCGUCGUCCUCGUCCUCGUCGUGUUUCCGAGUAGUGUGUCGUGGCGGAUCCACGCGCCGUACGCCGCGAGUGAGCUGAAGUUGGCGUUGCACGACGCUUUGGACUCUACUGGAAUCGAUACAACCUAUGCCCGAGAGGCGAGAGAGGGUUUUUGCUCUCAGAUCAAUAAAUUAUCCAAUAUUGAAAGGCAAAUUAGUAUUAGCAUUAAUAGAUGUGUUGAUUUGGGGAAAACAGCUCUUCAUAUAGCAGCAGAGGAUGACUCCCUGAUAUCACAUUCAUCAGCUCCUCUCCCUGAUAUAACUCAUCUUUGAAAUCAUCACAAGAAAUUUUUGUGGAUAUAGUAUAGAGAGAUAUUUGUUUGAUAAAAAGGCAUUGGAGCUUUCUUAUACCUGAUUUGAUGAUUCAUGUUAGGGUUCUUAGAGAACCAGUGUGAGGAAUCAAAUAGAUCCAAGAGUGCUAUAUCUUCAGUUAGUUUUGACACAGCGCUUGUGCUCUGCUGUUAUGCUAUCGCUUAUAUACUCAGAAAUCCUGAAAAUGCUUCACUUAUGGGACCUUGUAGAUUUUGAUGUGGCGAUAGCAUUCCCUCUUGACCAUGGUCUUCCUAGGGGAUAUCAGAAGCAGAAGAGCAGAGAAUCUGAUCAGCCACACAUUAUGACUCUGCAAAUAUUGUCGGAGGAGAUUUUAAGGAUUUAAAGAGAGCUUUCUGGCCAUUUCAACAUGAUUUCUCCCGGAGUUUAUUCUUAAGGGCAGCACUGCUGCUAGCUGCAUUAGCGAUCAAACAGUGAAGACAGGCAGUUAAACUAUUGCAAACUGAUCUGUGAUUAUAUGAAAACUCUAUGUAGUUUUUAUAAUCUCAACUGAGAUUUCUUUCUCCCCUCCUUCCCCCUUUUGGGCUCUAUUUAUUCUGAUUUCAUUAUUUUUCUAGUGCAGUGGCUUGCAGCUUGCAUCAGCAAAGGCUGCCAAACAUAGGUUAGACCGUGGUGUUUGGACCGGUGUACGCUUUGGAUAUGAGACGUGCAUUAGCUGUUCGGCUUUGGGCACAUUCCCUUCCAGUUUGGAACAAUUGGCAAGGUUGAUCUUUGCUCUCCUUAACAAAGGAACAUGUAAUGCCUCUAAUGAUGAGCAAUUCUGUGCAUUCAAUAUGGAAAGACCUGGAAGCUCUGGCCUCUGGCAAGGAUCGAAGCCUCUAGCAAUAGUUUACAUCCAACUCAACCAAAUUUGAAAGUUUUCUGAUGCUUGGUGAUAUGAACUCAAUAUUGUUUCCACUAAGAUAUAAUUUUCUUAGAAUGGAUAAUGGGCUGAGAUUGUCCAAUGACUUAAUGAUUUGGCAAUCAGAUAGAUCUAGAAACUCAAGAGAGUUCAAACCUGAUAAAAGAAGCAAUACAAUUAGAAAGCUAUAUUCAAAUGUGUUCAGCAUAAUGGCAGUAUUAUUAGAUUUGAGUAUGGUCAACUUACAACUGGUGCUAGGAAGACUCUCAAGGCUUUUGUAACCUCGAAGAUUGAUUAUGGCAAGCUUAGUGAGAUAUUUUUUAGAUGAA